UACGUAGGGUGCGAGCGUUAAUCGGAAUCACUGGGCUUAAAGGGCGCGUAGGCGGGCUGCCGCGUCCGGGGUGAAAUCCCACGGCUCAACCGUGGAACGGCCCCGGGUACGGGCGGCCUCGAGGGGGGUAGGGGCGUGCGGAACUGUGGGUGGAGCGGUGAAAUGCGUUGAUAUCCACAGGAACUCCGGUGGCGAAGGCGGCACGCUGGACCCAUUCUGACGCUGAGGCGCGAAAGCCAGGGGAGCGAACGGG
rnacentral:rRNA from 1 species